rnacentral:lncRNA from 1 species
GUUGGCAGAGUGCACGUCUGCACGCCACACUUAGAAUCAACCCCAGAGACUGGGCGGUGGUUGUUUUUUCUCAUUGCCAACCUCCGGGCAUCGGGACUGCGGGUUCGUCUGGGCCUCCCUCACCCCUGGCUCCCGCCCAGGGCUUGCAUCAGACCCGGACAUGUGCCAGCUGCCUGCUGCCUCCUCUCUAGGUUCUCCAGGUCGUGUGGACUGGGACUCUGGGUGUGUCCCUCAGUCCCUGGAGCCUGGGUUUGCCCUUUCUGAGCACAAGGGAAGGGCCCUGCUGAGACGAAGCUCUGGUGGGUCCUUUUGUAAACGACCAGCCAGCCCCUACUUGAUCUGCGCUGAGAACAUGUCAAGUCUGCACGGCGACAGCUCUGCUGAUCAGAGAGACCACCGUGCUGACGCGCUGACUGUCCUCUCUUGUAGCUUCCUCCUCUGUGAAGACGACCCAGGGGGCCCCGCCCUUCUCUGAGCAGAGUGCCGUGGGGAUCUUGGGAUUCGGGAACUGUCCAGGUUUCCAGGCGAAGGUGGGACCGCGAGGGCAGGUCAUGGUGCCCGGCUGUGUGGGUGGAAAUCUUGGCGCUGUGUCCUCAGGGGUGGGCGCUCCAGCAGCGGCGGGCAGUACAGCUGGUGAAGGGCUUUCUGCUAUUCUUGAUGAAGGGAUUCCCCUGAGCCCACCUGGCACGUCUCUAUUCCAUGCAGGUGUGGAGAACAUCCCCCCACUGCUGCCCCACGGGGACUCGGGGACAUGCCUGGAGGCAGUGCCUGCCUGGCCUGUGGAACUGAGCUGCUGAGGACCCUCCUUGGGGGUGGGGGAUUCUCACAUGGGCUCCGGGUAAAGGAAUGUCCUAGUCCCAAGUGGAGACAACUCCAGGAUCAGAUUUGGGGGGGAGCAUUUUGAACUGUUUGGAAUCCAAAUGAACACAUGUCUAAGAACAUGGCGAGCAUCUUGUAGAACCACCCAGGGAAAGUCGAGGGGUGCAGAGACCCCUGGGAGCAGCUCAGACGACCCCCUCACUUCCCCAGGCCAUUCUCCAGUGGGCCUGGGGUGCUGUGCGAACACCCCCCAUGUGAAAGGGCACUUCCCAGGCAGAAGGCACCUGCGUGGCCCUAUUUGACACCAGGUGUCGGGGAGCAGUGUAACCGCCCUGUGCCCGCCCACUUCUGUCGGCCACCUGCAGGUCCCUCCAGGACAGGGACAGACCAUGCCCCCUGCCAGCUCUCCUUCUUCCUUGUCCCUUCCCUCCCAUCUUCUUUCUUUCCUCACUUCAUCUGCUCAAAAUAUUGAAAAAUCAAAAACCAGAGCUUCUGCAAAGGACACUGUUUCUACCUGAAGACAACAGAGCCCUGUGGAGGGAACAUGCAUGGCACAGCAAGCUGUGGGCAUUUUCAGAGGUUUAAAGACAAGACUGAGGGGACAGCGUGAGGUGCUGGAGCCUGGGCAGGCAUCCUUGCAGACGCUCCGUAUCUGAGGCCGCGGUGGCCUCUGCAGGCCUGGGCUCCACCUAUCUCAUGGGACGGUCACUCUCAGGCUGUCAUGUGUAGGAGCCCUUCCUUCCCAGUCUACUGGCUUUGCUUACCUGUUUGGCUGGGGUUGGCAGGAGUGAUU